GGUUGAUCCUGCCAGUAGUCAUAUGCUUGUCCCAAAGAUUAAGCCAUGCAUGUCCAAGUAUAAACGAUUAUACGGUGAAACUGCGAAAGGCUCAUUAUAUCAGUUAUAAUUUACUUGAAGAAGACUUAUUACAUGGAUAACCGUGGUAAUUCUAGAGCUAAUACAUGCAAAGGGCCCGCGAGGGUCGUAUUUAUUAGAUAAAACCAAGGCCUGUGGGCAGCUGGUGAGUCAUGAUAACUGGGCGGAUCGCAGGGCGUUGAGCCGGCGACGCUUCAAAGAAAUUUCUGCCCUAU
rnacentral:rRNA from 1 species